AGUGAACGCUGGCGGUAGGCCUAACACAUGCAAGUCGAACGGCAGCACAGUAAGAGCUUGCUCUUACGGGUGGCGAGUGGCGGACGGGUGAGGAAUACAUCGGAAUCUACUUUUUCGUGGGGGAUAACGUAGGGAAACUUACGCUAAUACCGCAUACGACCUACGGGUGAAAGCAGGGGAUCUUCGGACCUUGCGUGAUUGAAUGAGCCGAUGUCGGAUUAGCUAGUUGGCGGGGUAAAGGCCCACCAAGGCGACGAUCCGUAGCUGGUCUGAGAGGAUGAUCAGCCACACUGGAACUGAGACACGGUCCAGACUCCUACGGGAGGCAGCAGUGGGGAAUAUUGGACAAUGGGCGAAAGCCUGAUCCAGCCAUACCGCGUGGGUGAAGAAGGCCUUCGGGUUGUAAAGCCCUUUUGUUGGGAAAGAAAAGCAGCAGGUUAAUACCCCGAUGUUCUGACGGUACCCAAAGAAUAAGCACCGGCUAACUUCGUG
rnacentral:rRNA from 1 species